GGCGAACGGGUGAGUAAUAUAUCGGAACGUGCCCAGUCGUGGGGGAUAACGCAGCGAAAGCUGUGCUAAUACCGCAUACGAUCUACGGAUGAAAGCGGGGGAUCGCAAGACCUCGCGCGAUUGGAGCGGCCGAUAUCUGAUUAGCUUGUUGGUGAGGUAAAGGCUCACCAAGGCGACGACGGGUAGCCGGCCUGAGAGGGCGACCAGCCACACUGGAACUGAGAUACGGACCAGACUUC
rnacentral:rRNA from 1 species